rnacentral:lncRNA from 1 species
AAGAUCUCUUUUCAGCUAACCUGUAGGGAAUUUUUGUUCCUUUUUUGUCUUCUUAGUCUACAAUAUGAAUUCUUUUUUUUUUUCAAAUAUCUGCAGUUAAAAGCUUGUCUAAAGAUAUGGUUGUCAUAAAUUUGAUUGUGACCGGAUAAAUAUGGGAACUUUUCUUUCUAUAUCUUCUCAGAAAGAUCUAGAAAAUUCACUCCAAACCAAGCUAACCAGCCGAUAACCCCAGUGCUCUCACAUGAGACAUGUUUUAGUUGUACAUUCUCUUUAGCAUGCCGUGACUGUUGGCUGUCACAUUAACCAUUUCUAAGCUAACCCUGACCAAGUUUCUUUUCUUUUUUUGUUGGAUUCAGUUACUAACUUUUUCUUAUAUUUAUAUGACUCUUUUCUUGGCAUAAUUAUGUGAGUACUAUCAUGUUACUGUUUCUAAUCUCAAGCCUUGCCAAUAGUUGUUGUCUGUGUAACGACAGGUUUGGAUCCAAAUCAAACAUUUAGUUGGAAAUUUGUAUCUUAAGCACUUACCCACCUUUGGCCAGCUGAUCUUUAUUUUAACGAGAGUUGAGUGCAACAUGAAUGUUGGAAGAUUAUCCUUCCUUUUAAUGGUUCUCAUUUGGGUAUAUACAUGUAUUCUUUUUUUUUUCUUUUUUUACCAAGCUCUAUAUUUUAAUUGACCUUUUUCCUGCGAUGCUGUUGCAGAUCCCAUGCAGGGAACCACAUCAAAACGUGUGUCUUACACUAG